rnacentral:rRNA from 1 species
AUUGAACGCUGGCGGCAGGCUUAACACAUGCAAGUCGAGCGGAGAUGAGGUGCUUGCACCUUAUCUUAGCGGCGGACGGGUGAGUAAUGCUUAGGAAUCUGCCUAUUAGUGGGGGACAACAUUCCGAAAGGAAUGCUAAUACCGCAUACGUCCUACGGGAGAAAGCAGGGGAUCUUCGGACCUUGCGCUAAUAGAUGAGCCUAAGUCGGAUUAGCUAGUUGGUGGGGUAAAGGCCUACCAAGGCGACGAGCUGUAGCGGGUCUGGGAGGAUGAUCCGCCACACUGGGACUGAGACACGGCCCAGACUCCUACGGGAGGCAGCAGUGGGGAAUAUUGGACAAUGGGGGGAACCCUGAUCCAGCCAUGCCGCGUGUGUGAAGAAGGCCUUAUGGUUGUAAAGCACUUUAAGCGAGGAGGAGGCUACUGAGACUAAUACUCUUGGAUAGUGGACGUUACUCGCAGAAUAAGCACCGGCUAACUCUGUGCCAGCCGCCGCGGUAAUAC